rnacentral:rRNA from 1 species
CAAGCACUUGGUUCGCCCCUUACUAGAACCAUCCCACUCAAUCUUUUACACCGAUGUUUCAUACUCUGUCGACCAGGUCAUCAUAAGAAAAUACUGCCAAAUCGAGAAGGAGGGAAGGUGCGCUACAACUAA